rnacentral:rRNA from 1 species
GUCUUUGGCACGGAAAUCCCAGGGCUUCUGUGAUGCGCUCUCGAAGAGUCGAGUUGUUUGRGAAUGCAGCUCAAAAUGGGUGGUGAACUCCAUCUAAAGCUAAAUAUUGGCGAGAGACCGAUAGCGAACAAGUACCGUGAGGGAAAGAUGAAAAGCACUUUGGAAAGAGAGUGAAACAGUACGUGAAAUUGUUGAAAGGGAAACGCUUAAAGUCAGUCACGUCGACCGAGACUCAGCCUUGCCUAGGCUUGGUGUACUUCUCGGCUGAUGGGUCAGCAUCAAUUUUGAUCCUCGGAUAAUGGCAAUGGAAAGGUAGCACCUUUACAGGUGUGUUAUAGUCCUAUGUCGCAUGCGGGGGUCGGGAUUGAGGAACUCAGCAUGCACCCCUUGGUGUCAGGGCCUCUGCGGCCCAUGUUACGUGCUUAGGAUGCUGGCAUAAUGGCUUUAAACGACCCGUCUUGAAACACGGACCAAGGAGUCUAACAUACCCGCGAGUGUUUGGGUGGAAAACCCAUGCGCGUAAUGAAAGUAAAAGUUGGGACCUCUGUCGUGGAGGGCACCGACGCCUGGACCAGACCUUCUGUGACGGCUCUACGGUAGAGCGUGUAUGUUGGGACCCGAAAGAUGGUGAACUAUGCCUGAAUAGGGUGAAGCCAGAGGAA